rnacentral:rRNA from 1 species
AUACGUAGGGAGCGAGCGUUGUCCGGAUUUACUGGGUGUAAAGGGUGUCGUAGGCGGAUUGGCAAGUCAGAAGUGAAAUCCAUGGGCUUAACCCAUGAACUGCUUUUGAAACUGUUAGUCUUGAGUGAAGUAGAGGUAGGCGGAAUUCCCGGUGUAGCGGUGAAAUGCGUAGAGAUCGGGAGGAACACCAGUGGCGAAGGCGGCCUACUGGGCUUUAACUGACGCUGAGGCACGAAAGUGUGGGUAGC